rnacentral:rRNA from 1 species
CCUACGGGAGGCAGCAGUGAGGAAUAUUGGUCAAUGGACGAGAGUCUGAACCAGCCAAGUAGCGUGAAGGAUGACUGCCCUAUGGGUUGUAAACUUCUUUUAUAAAGGAAUAAAACGAGGCACGUGUGCCUUUUUGCAUGUACUUUAUGAAUAAGGAUCGGCUAACUCCGUGCCAGCAGCCGCGGUAAUACGGAGGAUCCGAGCGUUAACCGGAUUUUUUGGGUUUAAAGGGAGCGUAGAUGGGUUGUUAAGUCAGUUGUGAAAGUUUGCGGCUCAACCGUAAAAUUGCACUUGAUACUGGCAGUCUUGAGUACAGGUGAGGUAGGCGGAAUUCGUGGUGUAGCGGUGAAAUGCUUAGAUAUCACGAAGAACCCCGAUUGCGAAGGCAGCUUACUAAACUGUGACUGACAUUGAUGCUCGAAAGUGUGGGUAUCAAACAGGAUUAGAUACCCUUGUAGUC